rnacentral:rRNA from 1 species
UGCCUAAAGCAUAACAUUAAUGCAUUGGAUCCCAUUAGAACUAUGUAGUUAAGCACACUUCGAUUAGAGUAGUACUAGGAUGGCUGAUAGCCUGAGAAGUUCUAGUGUUUUACAUGC